rnacentral:rRNA from 1 species
CUACUUCAAACCAUCGCGAACUCGUCCAAGUUGCUUCGGCGGCGCGGCACCCCUUAACGGGGGCGCCGCAGCCCUGCCUCUCCGGAGGUUCGGGGCGCCCGCCGGAGGUACGAAACUCUGUAUUAUAGUGGCAUCUCUGAGUAUAAAACAAAUAAGUUAAAACUUUCAACAACGGAUCUCUUGGUUCUGGCAUCGAUGAAGAACGCAGCGAAAUGCGAUAAGUAAUGUGAAUUGCAGAAUUCAGUGAAUCAUCGAAUCUUUGAACGCACAUUGCGCCCGGUAGUACUCUACCGGGCAUGCCUGUUCGAGCGUCAUUUCAACCCUCAAGCCCUGCUUGGUGUUGGGGCCCUACGGCUGCCGUAGGCCCUGAAAGGAAGUGGCGGGCUCGCUACAACUCCGAGCGUAGUAAUUCAUUAUCUCGCUAGGGAGGUUGCGGCGUGCUCCUGCCGUUAAAGACCCAUCUUUAACCAAGGUUGACCUCGGAUCAGGUAGGAAUACCCGCUGAACUUAAGCAUAU